rnacentral:rRNA from 1 species
UACGUAGGGCGCAAGCGUUGUCCGGAAUUAUUGGGCGUAAAGAGCUCGUAGGCGGCUUGUCACGUCUGCUGUGAAAUCCCGGGGCUCAACCCCGGGCGUGCAGUGGAUACGGGCUGGCUAGAGGCAGGCAGGGGAGAACGGAAUUCCCGGUGUAGCGGUGAAAUGCGCAGAUAUCGGGAGGAACACCGGUGGCGAAGGCGGCUCACUGGUCCGGUACUGACGCUGAGGUGCGAAAGCGUGGGGAGCAAACAGG